rnacentral:tRNA from 1 species
GUCCUCGUAGGUUAAUGGAUAGACCUCUGGCCUCCGAAGCCGGAAAUUCAGGUUCGACUCCUGACGGGGACA